rnacentral:misc_RNA from 1 species
UUUCCGUAGGUGAACCUGCGGAAGGAUCAUUCAUAAUAAGUGUCUUAUGGCACUUUUUUAAAUCCAUAUCCACCUUGUGUGCAAUGUCAGGGUUGAUUUUUCUCUCGAGAGGAUCAACCCCAAACAUCAACUAUAUCUCAACUCUUUGUCUGAAAAAUAUUAUGAAUAAAACAAUUCAAAAUACAACUUUCAACAACGGAUCUCUUGGCUCUC